CUGCCUGCCCGGUGACUAUACGUUUAACGGCCGCAGUAUUUUAACUGUGCGAAGGUAGCGCAAUCACUUGUCUUUUAAAUGGAGACCUGUAUGAAUGGCAUGACGAGGGCUUAACUGUCUCCUUCUCCCGGUCAAUGAAAUUGAUCUCCCCGUGCAGAAGCGGGGAUAAAAACAUAAGACGAGAAGACCCUGUGGAGCUUCUAGACACACAGAAGUUUAUGUCAAUUACAUUCAAUAAAAUAAUAAACUAAAUAACACACUACUGAAAGUCUUUGGUUGGGGCGACUAUGGGGAAAUAAAUAACCCCCAUGAGGAAGAAAAUGAUUUCUUAAAGACAAGAGUUACGACUCAAAACAUCAGAAUAUCUGACCUACAUGAUCCGGUAAUACCGAUCAACGAAACAAGUUACCCCAGGGAUAACAGCGCAAUCCCCUCCAAGAGUUCUUAUCAACGAGGGGGUUUACGACCUCGAUGUUGGAUCAGGACAUCCUAAUGGUGCAGCCGCUAUUAAGGGUUCGUUU
rnacentral:rRNA from 1 species